rnacentral:sRNA from 1 species
CGAAGGCAGCUUUCUGGAUCAUGACUGACACUGAGGAGCGAAAGCAUGGGUAGCGAAGAGGAUUAGAUACCCUCGUAGUCCAUGCUGUAAACGAUGUGUGCUAGACGUUGGAAAUUUAUUUUUCAGUGUCGCAGCAAAAGCGUUAAGCACACCGCCUGGGGAGUACGACCGCAAGGUUAAAACUCAAAUGAAUUGACGGGGACCCGCACAAGUAGUGGAGCAUGUGGUUUAAUUCGAAGAUACGCGCAGAACCUUACCAACACUUGACAUGUUUGUCGCGACUCUAAGAGAUUAGAGUCUUCGGUUCGGCCGGACAAAACACAGGUGCUGCAUGGCUGUCGUCAGCUCGUGUCGUGAGAUGUUGGGUUAAGUCCCGCAACGAGCGCAACCCUUACUUUUAGUUGCUACCAUUUAGUUGGGCACUCUAAAAGAACUGCCAGUGAUAAGCUGGAGGAAGGCGGGGAUGACGUCAAGUCCUCAUGGCCCUUACGUGUUGGGCUACACACGUGCUACAAUGGUACUUACAGUGAGACGCAAAGAGGCGACUCUAAGCUAAUCCCAAAAAGGUACCUCAGUUCGGAUUGUACUCUGCAACUCGAGUACAUGAAGCUGGAAUUACUAGUAAUCGCGGAUCAGCGCGCCGCGGUGAAUACGUUCCCGGGUCUUGUACACACCGCCCGUCACACCAUGGAAGUUGGUUACACCUUAAGGCAAAGCAUAAAACCUUUGACUACGGUACGAUCAGCGACUGGGGUGAAGUCGUAACAAGGUAGCCGUAGGGGAACCUGCGGCUGGAUCACCUCCUUUCUAAGGAAAUCGAAAAAUAUUAAAACAAUUAUUUUCGAUUUAAAAAAAACCUGUAAUGUGACCGUCCUCAUUUCUCUUCUUUAAUGUCUCUGAGUAAAUGUAAAGGGGCCGGUAGCUCAGGUGGUUAGAGCGCACCCCUGAUAAGGGUGAGGUCGGAAGUUCGAGUCUUCCUCGGCCCACCAACUUUUAAGGGGGAUUAGCUCAGCUGGGAGAGCGCCUGAUUUGCAUUCAGGAGGUCAGCGGUUCGAUCCCGCUAUCCUCCACCAACAUAUUUGAGACAUUUAGCUUUUUAAAAUUGUAAAUAUAUUAUUAAUAUCAAUAUCUAUAUCCGAUUGUUUUCGAGUAGUUAUUUGAAAACAAUCAAAUCAAAAAUUUGAAUUUUACACAGAAAGUUUUUUUCUGUGCAUAAAUCAAGCGUUUAAGGGCGUUUGGCGGAUGCCUUGGCACUGUAAGACGAUGAAGGACGUGGUAUACUGCGAUAAGUUUCGGGGAGCCGUAUGCAGGCUUUGAUCCGAAAAUUU